ensembl:snRNA U6 U6 spliceosomal RNA
GUGCUCACUUCAGCAGCACAUAUACCAAAACUGAUACAGAGAAGGAUGGCAUGGCCCCUGUGCAAGGAUGACACACAAAUUCAUGUGGCAUUCCAUAUUUUU